GACGAACGCUGGCGGCGUGCCUAAUACAUGCGAGUCGAACGCACGAAGUUGAAGAGCUUGCUCUUUAACCAAGUGAGUGGCGGACGGGUGAGUAACACGUGGGUAACCUGCCCAUUAGAGGGGGAUAACAUUCGGAAACGGAUGCUAAUACCGCAUAGUUUCAGGGAUCGCAUGAUUCUUGAAGGAAAGGUGGCUUCGGCUACCACUAAUGGAUGGACCCGCGGCGUAUUAGCUAGUUGGUGAGGUAAUGGCUCACCAAGGCAAUGAUACGUAGCCGACCUGAGAGGGUGAUCGGCCACACUGGGACUGAGACACGGCCCAGACUCCUACGGGAGGCAGCAGUAGGGAAUCUUCCGCAAUGGACGAAAGUCUGACGGAGCAACGCCGCGUGAGCGAAGAAGGUUUUCGGAUCGUAAAACUCUGUUGUUAAAGAAGAACAAGGAUGAGAGUAACUGCUCAUCCCCUGACGGUAUUUAACCAGAAAGCCACGGCUAACUACGUGCCAGCAGCCGCGGUAAUACGUAGGUGGCAAGCGCUGUCCGGAUUUAUUGGGCGUAAAGCGAGCGCAGGCGGUUCUUUAAGUCUGAUGUGAAAGCCCCCGGCUCAACCGGGGAGGGUCAUUGGAAACUGGAGAACUUGAGUGCAGAAGAGGAGAGUGGAGUUCCACGUGUAGCGGUGAAAUGCGUAGAUAUGUGGAGGAACACCAGUGGCGAAGGCGACUCUCUGGUCUGUAACUGACGCUGAGGCUCGAAAGCGUGGGGAGCAAACAGG
rnacentral:rRNA from 1 species